UGCGACAUUUUUGAUAGGGAGUGUAGUUACUGAUGUUAAUAAAUAAACGUAUUUACACUUUUUCCAAGAUGUAAAAUACAAAGAUUUUUAUUAUUUCAAUCUGAAAUAAUAUAAUUGAUUUUUUGUUAAUAUUCUCACUGAAAAAGGCGUCUAAAAUAUGCCCAAUAAUUUCUAAAAAAUAGCAUCUUUUCACAGUUUGGAAAUGUUUUGCCAUACUAAUUCAUACAUAACUGUACAACUGAUUUUAUUUAUACAGCUUCGUGAAUAACUUGAUUCUCUGAUUCACACAUUUUAUCAGUAUUAAAAAGUUUAUAAGUUUACUAUGGCUUCAGCCUAAAUGUCUUGCUUCACUUAAAUCGCUCCCCUCCCUUUUUUUAACAUUAGAGGGAAAUAUAUUAAAUCAAUGAUUUUAAAAGAAUUGAAAAUGGGAAAUAGUGAGAAGGGGUCGGAAACUGACGGGUAAAUGAAACGCGACCAUCUUUUGCCAACGCGCCAUUGGGAAUUAUUUCAGUCACAACCAUGCCGUUUAAACCAUCGUUGACAAUUUCAAGAUUAAUACCUAUGAAAUUUUUGCAAUUAAUUGUAACACACAGUAGUCCGUUGUUGAAUAGAUUUUAAUGUUACCUAAUUGGUCAGAAGCUUUGUGAAUUUUGACUUCUGAUUCUAAUGUGACAGCAAUCGCUCACAUACUGGGCCAACAAUCAUAUGCUCUUCUUCUUCUUCUUCCUUUAAGGCAACAACACGAAAUUUUCAAACCAAUUUAAAU